rnacentral:rRNA from 1 species
UUAAGUUAUUAAGGGCGCACGGUGGAUGCCUUGGCACUAGAAGCCGAUGAAGGACGUUACUAACGACGAUAUGCUUUGGGGAGCUGUAAGUAAGCUUUGAUCCAGAGAUUUCCGAAUGGGGAAACCCAGCAUGAGUUAUGUCAUGUUAUCGAUAUGUGAAUACAUAGCAUAUCAGAAGGCACACCCGGAGAACUGAAACAUCUUAGUACCCGGAGGAAGAGAAAGAAAAUUCGAUUCCCUUAGUAGCGGCGAGCGAAACGGGAAGAGCCCAAACCAACAAGCUUGCUUGUUGGGGUUGUAGGACACUCUAUACGGAGUUACAAAGGACGACAUUAGACGAAUCAUCUGGAAAGAUGAAUCAAAGAAGGUAAUAAUCCUGUAGUCGAAAAUGUUGUCUCUCUUGAGUGGAUCCUGAGUACGACGGAGCACGUGAAAUUCCGUCGGAAUCUGGGAGGACCAUCUCCUAAGGCUAAAUACUCUCUAGUGACCGAUAGUGAACCAGUACCGUGAGGGAAAGGUGAAAAGCACCCCGGAAGGGGAGUGAAAUAGAACCUGAAACCGUGUGCUUACAAGUAGUCAGAGCCCGUUAAUGGGUGAUGGCGUGCCUUUUGUAGAAUGAACCGGCGAGUUACGAUUUGAUGCAAGGUUAAGCAGUAAAUGUGGAGCCGUAGCGAAAGCGAGUCUGAAUAGGGCGUUUAGUAUUUGGUCGUAGACCCGAAACCAGGUGAUCUACCCUUGGUCAGGUUGAAGUUCAGGUAACACUGAAUGGAGGACCGAACCGACUUACGUUGAAAAGUGAGCGGAUGAACUGAGGGUAGCGGAGAAAUUCCAAUCGAACCUGGAGAUAGCUGGUUCUCUCCGAAAUAGCUUUAGGGCUAGCCUCAAGUGAUGAUUAUUGGAGGUAGAGCACUGUUUGGACGAGGGGCCCCUCUCGGGUUACCGAAUUCAGACAAACUCCGAAUGCCAAUUAAUUUAACUUGGGAGUCAGAACAUGGGUGAUAAGGUCCGUGUUCGAAAGGGAAACAGCCCAGACCACCAGCUAAGGUCCCAAAAUAUAUGUUAAGUGGAAAAGGAUGUGGCGUUGCCCAGACAACUAGGAUGUUGGCUUAGAAGCAGCCAUCAUUUAAAGAGUGCGUAAUAGCUCACUAGUCGAGUGACACUGCGCCGAAAAUGUACCGGGGCUAAACAUAUUACCGAAGCUGUGGAUUGUCCUUUGGACAAUGGUAGGAGAGCGUUCUAAGGGCGUUGAAGCAUGAUCGUAAGGACAUGUGGAGCGCUUAGAAGUGAGAAUGCCGGUGUGAGUAGCGAAAGACGGGUGAGAAUCCCGUCCACCGAUUGACUAAGGUUUCCAGAGGAAGGCUCGUCCGCUCUGGGUUAGUCGGGUCCUAAGCUGAGGCCGACAGGCGUAGGCGAUGGAUAACAGGUUGAUAUUCCUGUACCACCUAUAAUCGUUUUAAUCGAUGGGGGGACGCAGUAGGAUAGGCGAAGCGUGCGAUUGGAUUGCACGUCUAAGCAGUAAGGCUGAGUAUUAGGCAAAUCCGGUACUCGUUAAGGCUGAGCUGUGAUGGGGAGAAGACAUUGUGUCUUCGAGUCGUUGAUUUCACACUGCCGAGAAAAGCCUCUAGAUAGAAAAUAGGUGCCCGUACCGCAAACCGACACAGGUAGUCAAGAUGAGAAUUCUAAGGUGAGCGAGCGAACUCUCGUUAAGGAACUCGGCAAAAUGACCCCGUAACUUCGGGAGAAGGGGUGCUCUUUAGGGUUAACGCCCAGAAGAGCCGCAGUGAAUAGGCCCAAGCGACUGUUUAUCAAAAACACAGGUCUCUGCUAAACCGUAAGGUGAUGUAUAGGGGCUGACGCCUGCCCGGUGCUGGAAGGUUAAGAGGAGUGGUUAGCUUCUGCGAAGCUACGAAUCGAAGCCCCAGUAAACGGCGGCCGUAACUAUAACGGUCCUAAGGUAGCGAAAUUCCUUGUCGGGUAAGUUCCGACCCGCACGAAAGGCGUAACGAUUUGGGCACUGUCUCAACGAGAGACUCGGUGAAAUCAUAGUACCUGUGAAGAUGCAGGUUACCCGCGACAGGACGGAAAGACCCCGUGGAGCUUUACUGUAGCCUGAUAUUGAAAUUCGGCACA